rnacentral:rRNA from 1 species
GUCGAACGAACCCGCAAGGGUGAGUGGCGAAAGGGUUAGUAAUACGAUCGAACGUACCCCGAGGUGGAGGAUAGCGGCGGGAAACUGCCGGUAAUACUCCAUGAUGUCUUCGGACCAAAGUUUUGGCGCCUUGGGAGCGGCGAUCGUCCUAUCAGGUAGUUGGCGGGGUAAUGGCCCACCAAGCCUUAGACGGGUAGCGGGUGUGAGAGCACGGCCCGCAACAUCGGAACUGAGACACUGUCCGGACUCCUACGGGAGGCUGCAGUAACGAAUCUUCCGCAAUGGGCGCAAGCCUGACGGAGCAAUGCCGCGUGCGGGAUGAAGUAUCUCUGGUAUGUAAACCGCUGUCAGGGGACGGAAACAAUGAUUGUCCCCAGAGGAAGUGGCGACUAACUCUGUGCCAGCAGUUGCGGUAAUACAGAGGCCACGAGCAUUAGUCGGAAUCACUGGGCUUAAAGGGUGCGUAGGUGGCUUGCCAAGUGCUUUGUGAAAUCCCACGGCUCAACCGUGGAACAGCAGGGCAUACUGGCAGGCUUGAGGCAAGUAGGGGCUGACGGAACAGUAGGUGGAGCGGUGAAAUGCGUAGAUAUCUACUGGAACGCCGAUGGUGAAGACGGUCAGCUGGGCUUGUCCUGACACUGAGGCACGAAAGCGUGGGGAGCAAACAGGAUUAGAUACCCUGGUAGUCCACGCCGUAAACGAUGCGCACUAGACCGGUGCGGUUUUGACGCCGUAUCGGUCGUAGUAAAAACGAU